UACGAAGGGGGCUAGCGUUGCUCGGAAUGACUGGGCGUAAAGGGCGCGUAGGCGGAUGGCACAGUCAGAUGUGAAAUUCCCGGGCUUAACCUGGGGGCUGCAUUUGAUACGUGUUGUCUUGAGUUCGGAAGAGGGUCGUGGAAUUCCCAGUGUAGAGGUGAAAUUCGUAGAUAUUGGGAAGAACACCGGUGGCGAAGGCGGCGACCUGGUCCGACACUGACGCUGGGGCGCGAAAGCGUGGGGAGCAAACAGG
rnacentral:rRNA from 1 species